AGACAUUAAUUUUUUGUUGAAACUUUUUUUUUCUCUUUGAAAAAUCAGUACGUGUGAUAAUUGUAUUUCACUUAACAAGUUUCGAAUAAGGAAAAGCUACCCCCGCAACUAACAUGAAGCCUAACUUCUGGAACCUAUGACUUUAACAUGUUCGGUGAUAGAAGACUAUAAAAUGUAUCUUUGAAGGCAUAUUUCAUCAAUUAAAUGGCUUAAAGCCAAUCGAUUACACCAUGGGUAAGGAAAAGCUACCCCCGCAACUAACAUGAAGCCUAACUUCCGCAACUACAUCUUCAGAGCUGUUAUCUUUCUGGAAACCAAUUGAAGUGACCCUGCUGAAGAUGUAGUCAUGGGUUCCAGAAGUUAGGCUUUAUGUUAAUUACGGGGGUAGCUUUUCCUUACCCAUGGUGUAAUCAAUUGGCUUUAAGCCAUUUAAUUGAUGAAAUAUACCUUCAAAGAUACAUUUUAUAGUCUUCUAUCACCGAACAUGUAGGCAUCUAGUCAUUCAAAUGUAGAAGUGCCCCUGAUCCUUUAGUUGUUCAUGUGAUGAUCUGCAAGAUUACACGAUAAUUUAGAAUAUUUAUGUCACAUUUGUACACAUACGGGCUAUUAAUUUUUCCGCUUAGUUUAUGAGCUUUGAUCUGAUUAAUAUGAGUAAUUUUAGCUUGAAUCAUCUUGCCUACUUUACGAACUAAUGUUUGAAGAGCUAUUCUCACCCUUGCGUCCCAACUGCUUGACCAUAGUUAGAACACCUGAGAAGCCUCGGUUUCUGGAAGGAGAAAAAUUGUCACUUCUUUGAUUAGGGCAAUGCUUUAUGGAAAGUUGGCACAAUCUAGUCGGAGGGCUCAUUGUUUCGUGCCAACUUAUACGGGAAAAUACCUCAGCGGUUUUAUAGAUGGAACCUGAUCAAGGAAUGACUGAAUGUACUGGGUGUUACAAUCAUUGUGUGGUAUGCCAAUGAGUGAUCGGCCAAUUCAAUUUCCUUAAAAGCGUAUAUAACACCUGGGGCAUCUUUAUGUGUCGGCCCUUCUUCCUCUCUCUGGGGCAUAUAACCUGGGACUUUUCACAUCUCUUCUUCAAAUAGACUCUUAAUUGUCUUAGAUUCCAUCUUAUGAUUGUUUGACCUUUUUAUGCUUCAUAUUAGCAAUUUACACAUGCCCAUAUUGUGCAUGGAUGUCAUUCGACGACGAUACAUUUUUUAUGGAAACCAUAACGUCUGCUUGGCUAGAUCCAGUUUACAAGUCUAGAUGUUUGUACAUUCUUCCGUACGUCUUAAAGCUAGUUUGAAUAAUUGAAU
rnacentral:lncRNA from 1 species